rnacentral:rRNA from 1 species
AUGGGGACGCGGGAGGUGUACGAGGAGAAGCUCCGCAGCGGCGCGCACCUCCACCGCGACCCCACCAUCAACCCCGGCCUCGGCUCCGCCCGCUGCCCCCGCUGCCUCUCCCUCCUCAACCCCGCCACCAGCUCCGUACGUACUCCCCAACCCCCCUUCCCCCCCUCUCCCGAUUCCUCCUCCUCCAUCUGCCCCGCGGUUCGUUCUGACCGGAUGUUUGUGCUUUUCGCUUGGACGGCCGCGCAGGGAGGGCGCGACUGGGCCAUCACCUCCGUCCUGCACGACGCCACCGCCGUGACUGGUUCUGGCGCCGGCGCGAUGCUCAGUGCGGUGCACGGGUUUAAUACAGGGAUCCCGUUUGUCCAGAAGCAUGUCAAGGGGCCCAAGUGGCUGCACUUACUUGUUGGGGUCCCUCCUUUGAUCUUAUUCUCUGGUGCCAGUGCUUUAUUUGGGGCAUAUGCGCUCCCAACGUUUGCCCAGCUCACUGUGACAUCCUAUUAUGCUGCAUCAAGUGCCUCUCACUACGCAGUUUCACAGAUCACACGCCACAUCGAGAAGGCCCAUUUAUCUGGCGCUCCUGACGAGAAGACUUGA